GAUGAACGCUGGCGGCGUGCCUAAUACAUGCAAGUCGAGCGACAAGACGAGGAGCUUUCUCUUUUACCGUUAGCGGGUGACGGGUGGGUAACGCGUGGAUAACCUUCUACUAUUACUGGGGUGACAUCGGGGAACCAGAGACACUAAUGGCUCAUAUAUUGUACGGCUGAAAUCAAUAGAGCUUCGGGCCUUUCGCGAUUGAAUUAGCCCGCGUCGCAUUAGCUUGUUGGCAGGGUAACGGCCCACCAAGGCAACGAUGCGUAGCCGACCUGAGAGGAUGAUCAGCCACACUGGAACUGAGACACGGUCCAGACUCCUACGGGAGGCAGCAGUAGGGAAUCUUCCGCAAUGGGCGAAAGCCUGACGGAGCAACACCGCGUGAGUGAUGAAGGUCUUCGGGUCGUAAAACUCUGUUAUUAGGAAAGAACAAAUGUGGAAGUAACUAUGCACGUCUUGACGGUACCUAAUCAGAAAGCCACGGCUAACUACGUG
rnacentral:rRNA from 1 species